UGGUAUAAUAUACUGUAAAUACAGUUCCUAACUCUACUUCCCGUUUUCCGCAAGGAGAAGCAGAGCCUACGGUAAUGUCUGCUUCGCUCUCCUCGCCUUUUCUUUAUAAACACAGUUCCUAACUCUAUUUUCCGUUUCCCAAAAGGAGAAGCAGAGCCAACGAUAAUGCCUGCUUCUCUCUCCUCGCCUUUUUUUCCACUUCCCUCUUCCGCGUCUCCUUCCAAUCCCAACGCUCACUUUUCUCCUUCACCUCCUUCUCCUCGACGCCGUCUCAUUCCAAAAUCAAACCACCGGCACCACCGUCGUCGUCUCUCUCUCUAUUUCCUCUCAAUAACCUCGCGUAAACGCUGCAUUCACUGGCUCCUCUUCCUCUUCAUCGAUGCCUCCAGAAGUCUCUUCCUCCUCUCAGGUUCCCCUCUCUAUUUAUUUAUUUAUUUAUUUGAGACUUGAUAUUACGAUUGUGAUUUUGUUUGAAAAUGCUGAUUCAGUUCAGGACAGUUUGCUAUAUUCAAGGGCAUUUUGGGUAACUCAAUCUAUAAUCGCGUGGAAUGCGGAUACUGUUAGAGACGGUUAUUGUUAUUAAUACGCUAUCCAAACCGCUACAUUAACCGUUACGGAUACUGAAGUGGAAGAAAAUCAAGAUUGAAGAAGACAGCGGCGGCCUUCCAUGACAUGGAAGUGUUUUUUUGUUUUGUUUUGGUAUUUUUUAAGAGUAGUGGUUAGUUAUUAGGGUGAAAAUUGAACGGUUUCUUUUUGGAAUUUGAGGUAAUUGCGAACAAAGCUUUCGAAGAGCCUUCAAUUGUGGAUGCCAAUCUCUCGUGGAAUGCCAAUUAGCCAUCGCGGCAUUCAGCUGUAAAUGUUUUGUUCAAUGCUUAAUGCGUUAGUGUUGUUGGCCUAACCCUGAAGAUUAUUGCAAAUAUGUACGUGAACUUGAUGAAAAAAUCUGAUGGGAAAUGCAGCUAAGCUACUGGUUUGCUGUUACCUGGAAUUGUGAAUGAAUUGUUUUCGAAUGAUGGUCCACACAGUUAUUUUCAUGAUGCCGUGUUCUCUCCAGCUUUCGCAGCUGAUGGGAAAUGCAGCUAAGCUACUACUGAUUUGCAGUUACCUGGUAUUCUGAAUGAAUUAUUUGCGAAUGAUGGUCCACACAGUUAUUUUCAUGAUGCCGUGUUCUCUCCAGCUUUCGCAGCUGAUGGGAAAUGCAGCUAAGCUACUGGUUUGCAGUUACCUGGUAUUCUGAAUGAAUUGUUUGCGAAUGAUGGUCCAUCGGUGUGCAUUAUUAAGAACAUGCUGGGUUUGCUCUAUCUAUGGCCUCACACUGCUCAGGUGUAUGACAUUUUGAAACAGAUUCUCUUGUUUUGUUUGUUUUCUAUGAAGCUGUCUUCUUCUAUGCGAUAGGUAAUGUUUUAUUCUUCUUCUUCUUCUUCUUAUUAUUAUUAUUAUUGCUUCUAAAAAGACAGUGCGUACCUGCAUUUAUAAGAAUGUGGAUAGCAGGGGUGCCAUGUAAGUUAUUCAGUUGAAGGAGGUUAAUGGAGUGUGGAGUAUUGAAGGAGGUUAUUGGGAAGGUUGUUAUUUUUUGUAUGAAGUGUCUGUCUAUCAUCCUAGCAUCUUACACGUUGAAAAAUGCUAUGCAGAUGAUCCAUAUGCUAGAGCGCUUGUUGGGUGUCUCAGUUUGCCAACAAUUCUGUGAAAUAGUUCAAUUGUUUCCUUGCUCUGAAAUUAUGCAGCUUUGCUGAUCAUCUCAAUAUGUUUGUAUUUGUAUUUUGUGCAUACAAAUGUGUAAAAUUCCUCUGAUUUUAUGCUGUUUCUUUGUUAGAACAGGCUCUCACCAGAUAGCCAGAGGACAUCAUUUGUGAAUCUUGAUUCAGAUAUUUUAUUGGCCUUCAUGUUGUGUUGGGCGCUGUCUACAAUCAUUUGCAUGGAAAUGGGCCCUUUGAUGAGAAUUUAUGUUCUUGACAAUGUUCUUAUAAUUAUUGUUCUUUUGAUAUCCAGUCAAA